AUUUAAGCAUAUAAUUAAGCGGAGGAAAAGAAACUAACCAGGAUUCCCUCAGUAAGGGCGACUGAAGCGGGAAGUGCUCAGGAUGUGAAUCUGCGCCUUGUUGCGCCGAAUUGUGGUCUGUCGACUGUGGCAUUACUGGCCGGGCCAAGUCCUUUGGAACAAGGCAGCUGAGAGGGUGAGACUCCCGUCCGCCUGGCCGGGUGAGCUACAAGUCAACGAGUCGAGUUGUUUGGGAUUGCAGCUCUAAGUGGGUGGUAAAUUCCAUCUAAAGCUAAAUAUUGGUGGGAGACCGAUAGCGUACAAGUACCGUGAGGGAAAGAUGCAAAGAACUUUGAAAAGAGAGUUAAAGAGUACCUGAAAUUGCUGAAAGGGAAGCGAAGGAAACCAGUGUCGGCUUGGUCAUAUUUCCCUGUCCGCUUGCGGUUUGGGCGCUGUGUCCGGCCUAUGUCGUCCUUGGUUGGAUCUACUGGAAGAGCGCAGUGAGAGUUGAUCUCUGUUGCUAGCAGUAGGCUUGACUGAGGAGGACGAAAUGGUUUUCUUUACCCCGUCUUGAAACACGGACCAAGG
rnacentral:rRNA from 1 species